UACGAAGGGGGCUAGCGUUGCUCGGAAUCACUGGGCGUAAAGCGCACGUAGGCGGACAUUUAAGUCAGAGGUGAAAUCCCAAGGCUCAACCUUGGAACUGCCUUUGAUACUGGGUGUCUUGAGUUCGGGAGAGGUGAGUGGAACUGCGAGUGUAGAGGUGAAAUUCGUAGAUAUUGGGAAGAACACCGGUGGCGAAGGCGGCGCUCUGGACCGAGACUGACGCUGAGGCGCGAAAGCGUGGGGAGCAAACAGG
rnacentral:rRNA from 1 species